AAGGGUGGCUAAUACCGCAUAAAUUCUGAGGAAGAAAGCUGGGGACCUAGGAAUAGGCCUAGCGCUUUUUGAGCGGCCGAUGUCGGAUUAGCUAGUUGGUGAGGUAAAGGCUCACCAAGGCGAAGAUCUGUAGCGGGUCUGAGAGGAUGAUCCGCCACACUGGGACUGAGACACGGCCCAG
rnacentral:rRNA from 1 species